rnacentral:lncRNA from 1 species
GGGUCUCGCCAAAUUACUAAGGCCUCCCUAAAUUCCUGAGGUUAGUCUUGAACUUGCGAUCCUGCCUCGGUGUCCUAACUUGUUGGGAUUACAGAUGUGUGCCACAACGCCGGCAAGUACUCCUAAUCUUCUCCAGGGUUUCUGCUAUCACUCUAGAGUCUGUUCAUAUUAGAAAAUAGAAAGAAUGAUUUAACAAUUCCGGACAAUUUUCU